CUUUGUCCCCGCCCUCUGCCGCUCAACGGCUUCGCUUCCCCGAACGGAUGGAGCCCGGGGAGCGGCGGCUCCGCCGAGCGAGAGGAAAGCCGGGGGCAGCGGCGCUGCCUCGACGGGGUGGUCCUGACGGACGUGGAAAAGCCUCCCCGAGAGGAAAAGACGGGUCGAGUAGAGACAUCUCACCGGAGAAACUUCUCUGAUGCCGCCGAGGAGCCCCGAGCAGCCAGAGCGACUAACAGCGGAAGCCGCCCGCCCCGGCGAACCUCCGUGCCCCGGUGACAGGGAGAUGCCCGCGGCCCCGGCGGGGCGGCCGGGGCUCCGGCGGGGAUGCAGAUCCAUCCUGGACACGGCUCCGCAGCCGCAUCCUCCCUCGGGGGGCAGACAGGGACCCGCUCCACGGGCUCUGCACCUCCUCUGACCGGGAGAGACCCCGGACGGGCCCGUCUUGAACUUGACUUGGGGCACUGCGGGAGGCAGGGGGUCCCGUCCCCUCCGCCCUGCGCAGGGUCCGCUCGGGCAAACGAACCACCAAACCUUUAAAAAUUAACUUAAAACGAAUCUACCUUCUUCUCCCUCCAAAACCAUAAAUCCACCAAAACCCCAAAGGUUUGCCAGGCAGGCAAAGAUGGGCAGAAAGGGGGUGGGAGGGGUGUUGUAGCCCCUAGAGUUGCCCAUCUGAAAAAAAUAAUCCCCCGAGCCCCGUGCAGGCAGCUUUCCCCGCUCCUCACUGCCCAGCCCGGCUCCUUAAAAUAAUUCCGUUCGAGGUGCACCUGCCUGACAUGGAUCUGUGCUUCUUUCACGCUGUGAAAUGUCUCUCUCGCUGUGCGCAGAGCCGAGCCCGGGGCUGGACGCGGAGCGCUGCCCUGCCCGGCUCCUUCCCGAGGGCGAGGAGAAGCGGAGCCUCUGGGGGCCGUCGGGUUUUCCUUGGAUACCCGCCUAAGGUUGUGUCUGCGUCUCUCCGGAUCGCUCCAGGCUUGGAAACGUGCCGGAGGUCUUGUUCUCUGAUGGCAUCCUGAAAAAUACAAACUGGAUAUUAUUCUUAUCACUGCUGAUGAUAUUUACUGUCAAUAAAUAGACUCAGUUAAGUGGGAACAAAUGUUUGUUUGUAAUCCUCCUGCAACUGCAGACUUCAUUAUAUGUGAAGAAUACAGAGAUUAAUUCUGCCAUUUGCCGACAGCAUGUUUCCAGUUUCCUAGUAUAUGAUAUUAUUCCCAUGCAACUGCAGAGUAACGUUAAUGUGAAUCUGGGCUGAAAUUUUUUUCCCCCCUUCUUGGGUAAAAUAUAAAGAUUAAUUAGUGAUGUACUCACUCUAGCCUUUCAACCUGGCUGGGACUGACAUUUUUUUUUUCAUGCUAUAGUGCCUAAAGUAUUUCUGGUCCUCAGCAAAGGCGAGAUUGUUUUGUACUGCAGUGAACUAGUCCAUUGGAUCAACGUACAUUUGACUCUUUACCUCUUUAGAAAUGUUUUUUUUUUUUUUUAAUAUUUUCUGAGUCCAUGGCCAAUGUCCUUUUUUUCCAAAAAUGGAUUUCUUUUUAUCACAAAAUGAAAAAUACCACAUCUCAAAGUUUUAUCGUAGGCAGAUUCUAUUUUCAGAUAGCAUCAUGUGGAGACUAUGUUUUCAAAAGCAUUAACUCAAACCACACGGAUGCACAACUGUUUUAAAAUAUGAGAAUUCACACAUGCUUUUUAUUAUAACGCACAUAAAACUGAAGUAUAAUACAGUAGGCUUUGGCAAUAAAAUGGAGUAGUCAAUGUAUAAAUUUUAUGCCUCGUUCUUAGAUUAAUGAACUGCUUUUCUUGAUGAAUUGAGCAUGAAUGAGUAAAAACACAAUGAUCUGAUUAGAUACUAAAUCAAUGGUUUUCUGGCAAUUCAAAAAUUGCAUGUCUAGUUCAAAGUUCACUUUUUUUUUCUGGGACAACUUGAUAAGCUUCUUCUCCUAGCCAAACCACUAAAGAGGCAUUGUCAGUCUCUUCAAGUUCACUAUUGUUCUCAGAAAAUCACUUCCUUAAGAAACAUCCAUAUGUUGAGUUGUACUUUGUGGGAAACAAAAUUACGGUUCUAAGUAAUUUACUCUGUAACUGCAUUGAGGUUGGAUUCAGCUGGUACAAAUACCUCCUGAUGAUGUUAUAGCAGAGGUAAGUGUGGCUUCACCUUCUCUCUGCUGGUACAGGAAACGGGGAGAGGUCUGCAGUCAGCAGGGACAGUCGGAGGAGAUUCCUCAAGGCUGGGAUCUCAAGUUGAACCACUUCAUACAUUUGGAAGCUCAGAUUUGUAUUUAGGAAUAUAAAUGAAGGUAAUGGUUUGCCCAGUGAAGCUAACAGACAGAUGACCUGCUUUUGUAGACAGGGACCCAUAAGUGUUUAUGGGAGGGAGAAACCUUUUUCAUCUUAGAGGCAUUGGGAAGAGGAAAUGCAAAUGGAGAGCUGUCAUAAGCUGUUCCAAACCUCCAGUGGCUGUCAGGGAAGACCAAAUAGAGGAAGGUCUAUGCAGCAGGUAGUGAUUUGUAGGUAAGUAGAGAUGGGCCAGCUGGGAGCAAUGAGCUAGUUGCUUUGGGGUGGGGUCUAUAUAAAAGACUGCCUUAGAGAAGCAGCUUUGUUGCUUGGAGAUUUUGGUUGCAAGGAGCUACAGCUCAGGCUGUUGUUACAGAUUUGGUGAAACAAGCCAGGCUUUGCCCUUUUCUUUGGAGUCCUGGUGUUGCUCCUAAAAGGGCUGAGCUACUGCUUUGCAGUGAAUGGCUUCUCUCUAUAAGGUGAGAAUGAAGUGGAUGUGGUCUUCAGGCUCCGUGGUAUCCCCUUUUGGCACUGCAGUUCCCUACUGAGAAGGCAGGCUGGUCAGCUUGGGUGAUGGAGCCACGCCAGAAGCUGUCUGAGAUAAAACCCUUUCACUGGAAAAGGUGCUGAGGCUGAUUCUCUGUUUUCUCACAGCCUUCUGUAGCUGCUGGUCCAGUGCAAAAAUGAUGUGAAAUACUGAGCGAACGAACAAUUCCUAGAGGAGCAGUGGAAUAGCAGCAUCCUAUGUCCAGAGGGAAGCUCUGGUGGGAGGUGCAGCCCCUCCGUACAAUGGUUCCAGCGGCUUCAGUUGCAGUGCAUGUUCUGUGGCUUCCACUUGAGCUGGUUAUCCAGAGCUGAGCCCUAAUCCCAUCCAAGCCGGUGGCAGAGCUCUCGUUGGCACUGGGAGAAGGAGGCUGGAUUAGCGGUGUCUCUUCUGGGCAGUUCUGUUGUUGAAUGAUCAGCAGCUUUGGCGGCAGGCGAGCUGGAUGCCAGCCCUCUCAACAGUGCGUGCCGAAGCAGGCAGGUGACCUUCAGUGCACAGAUCCUGCCUGGCAGAGGAGAGAAGCCUUCACAGAUUUCCUGUGCUCUUUAACCUUGUGGUACAUGUGUAAAAUUCUGUGUAGAGGGAAAAGCCUCCAUCCCGGGAAUAGGUGCUUAGAGACAGUGUCUUGAAAUGAAAAAAAACUUUAUCUGAAUAUCUGUGUUUUUGACGGAGCUUGGUUGUACGGUGAUUCUUCUUAAUAGUAAGUCAUUUGCUCCAGAAGGUGAUGCUCUUUGGGCUCUGGCUUGCUCUCUUGGGAUGGAAAUUCUUUGGAGCACGGAAUGUGUGGGGAGAAAUAGAGGCUUUCCUGAAACUGGGGGGAAUGUUUUACUACUGAAUCCAAGCUGUAGUUGUUUGGAACAGCGGCAUGCACAACUUGCCUGGGUAAUUCAGUGACUUUUGUGUCAGCAUUAAAGAUGAAUACAACUUUGAAAUGAAAGCCAGGGGAGAAAGUGCAGCAAUUUAGCUUGUUCUGUCUUCUAGCUUUUAGAACAAACCUUGGAUAACGUAGAGGAAAAUCAGGUAGGUGGCUGAAUAUUCCUGCUCAUACACAGAGUGUGCAGUGCCUGCUCUGAGAGCUGGGUGCCUUCGUUCACUCCAGUUCAUGCAAAGUGCCUUCUUUCAACAGCUUGUUAGUUUGAUCUGAGAGUGUGAGAGAAUCUCCUCUGUGUCGCUAGCUGAGGUUUUAAUAUUGAAAAAGGAGGAGGGAAAGUGGAUUUUGAGAUUAAUACUGGAAAAUUGGAACUACAUAUGGAAAAAAACACAGAGAAAGAAUUGGUGAGCUGGAAAAAAAUAGACAAAUAUUACUAUUUUUUUAGUGUUUUUCAGGGUUUAUGUUCUUUAUUACUUAUUCCAUGCUGCGUUUUGGAAAGUAUUUGGCAAAAGUAUAAAUGCAAUCUUUAGACUACUUUGUAGUCAGAUGCCAUAGCCUAGAUUAAUUUGACUAUCUUUACAGAAAUAGCCACUAAGGAAAUACACUGAUUUAUGUAUCAGUUUAGAACUUGUUUGGGGAAACAGUUAGAGCUGUAGAAUACGAAAGAUAUUUAGGACAGAGAGUGCAAAAGUUUUAUAGCUUCUUAGUAUGAAAAGAUGGGUAAAUUUCAAUUAUGCAUUUUAUUAACACAGCCUCUUUAGCUCUAUAAAAUGGUAACAAUGUUAAAAUCCCCUCCUGGGAAAUAAUCUCACCUAUCUCACUGCUGAGAGACACUACUUGGGGAUGUUAGGAGAUGCUGAUGGAGUUAACCAGUUGUUAAUCAGUUGUUCAUUUGCAGCAGAGUCCUGCUUCAGCUGAAACAGAAGAUAAUCGGAUGAUAAUUUUUGACUUGCCAGGUGGUUUUGUUGUGAACUGAGCCUAACAAGAUCUGUAAGGAGUUAGUCUAUUACAGUGAUAAAAUCAGGUCAACUCAUAUCCAACUUCGAUGCACCAGAAGGUCACCAGACGGUCAGUGCUGAGGUGCUUGUUUGGGGCCCAAGCAAGCAGCACUGGUUGGUGCCAGGCACCCCUUGCUCCUAGCUGCCUUCCUUGCUGCUCCUAAUGAUGUUGGCAUUACUGGAGACGGCUCUCUCCCGAGCCAAGGCCUUCAGUGAGCUUUUUGAGGACUGACUUUGAGGAUCUAGUGCUCCAGUAUGGGCUUCCACGGGGCUGGUGGGAAAGAGGCACUUCUGUAGCUCGCAAGGCUUCUGCCACCUUGCUCGUGGGUGCCUGCUGAGGGGGUCACUGCUGCUUCCUGAUGCCUGUGGUCACCCACUGGUACAAAGUGGGGACACACUAGAGCUGCUAUGCUCUGGGAAACAGCAGGAGCACCAGUACCUGCUAGGAAGAUGCUGCAGGCUCUCAUCCUGAUGGGAUAUUCCUUCAGAAAGGAGCAAAUCUCACAGGAUUUGCUGUGAAAAUUACUGGGCGCUGAUGGCAGGUUGCAUGGCCAACAAGUGGACUGUCCUGGGUCAUCACAGUCUGGUCUUCUGCUGUUUGUGAUGGAGGCAUCUGGUGUUGGCUCCCCGUGUCUCUUUUUCCUGGAAGCAUGAACUCCACACAGCAACUGGCAGCUGUACCAACUAGUUCGUUGUCUUCCUCUAACUGCUAGUUUUCUCCCAGUGGAAGAGAAAGUGUUUCAGUAAUAUAAUCCCAAUGAAUGAAGGGGUUUUCUUAAUUAAAGUAAUAAUCUGAAAGUUGUCAUUGAUAAGUGUGUAAACAAGCUGAUUGCAGUGGGCGCGUGAAUAGCUCUAAUGAGCACAUGUGGGUAUUAAAUUAACCAUGGUUCACAAGCCAUGCAUGGCUAUGUUGUUAUUUAGAAAUAACCACUUUCCCCUUGUACUCAACUUUGCCUACCACCCCAAAAAUCUUGUCUUUUCACCGUGUUGCACAACAGAAAGGAAUGUUGUUCUCUCACAAGAGAGCCUUAAAGGAAAUUGCUGCAGUUAAGGUGUCUGGGAAUGCAGGCUGUGCUGUUGGCAUUUUUUCCCCUAGGUGCGGUGUAGCCUGGUGGGUAAAGCAUGAGCAUUCAGCAUCAGCUUCUCUUUGCUGGUAGCUUGUUCCGGGGCCCUUGGAGGAGGCACUCCACUGCUGGUUGUGGUGGAGUGCCCUGUCUGCGAAAUGGGAGAACAAUGGCUCUUGCAAGGCUGUUGUGCCAUUAACGAGCUCCUUGGAGGAAAGGCCCUACAGAAGUGCAAAUCAUCUUCUUAUUUGCUGUUAAUUAUUGAUAUAUUUAUUCAUUGCAAUAAGCAGGAUAAUAGAAGGGCAAUGGUAGGCUCAGCUGAUCUGCAAGUUGGUGGAAGUACAGUGGCUUCUCGUUACAGUCCCCAGAAGGAAGCCCUGGACGUGCAGCUGUGUUGAUGCUGAUGGGACACUGGAAGAAUCUCACCUUUCCAGGCCUGGGAGCAUCUCCAUGAUUUGAUGAAAAGAAGCAUGUGUGUGUAGCUUCCAUCUGUUGGAGGGGAAACGGAAUUUGAGUGCUAAAUUCGUUCUGACUGGCUUUCCUGGGUGAUCCUGUCUACAGCCUAAAAUAGUAAAGGUGGACAAAACUUCAGGGUGCAGUUUGGCUUCCAGAGAGUUAAGUACAGCUUCUUCCUUCAUCUGGAGGAGGUCAGAGCUCAUGUGUCACUGUGUACUGGAGGCAAUUGGACCUGAUUUUCCAUUUUAGUAGCAACUAAUUCUCCUUUGCUGUCAUUUCAGGACAUUUUUGUUGUCAUGUUAUGAACUGGAAAUUCAGCCUACUGUUAACCACUGUGUUGCUGCAAAUAGCUUCCUUCCUUUUCAGUGCCUAGAUUUAGCAGAGAAUUAAGGUGGAGAGGAGAUGCUGAAAUGGUGAUGCUACCAAAGACAACUGUUCUUUGUUUAAAUAAAC